AUUGAACGCUGGCGGCAGGCCUAACACAUGCAAGUCGAACGAGUGGCGGACGGGUGAGUAAUGUCUGGGAAACUGCCCGAGGGAGGGGGAUAACUACUGGAAACGGUAGCUAAUACCGCAUACCAUCGGAUGUGCCCAGCGGGGAUUAGCUAGUCGGUGGGGUAAUGGCCGACCUAGGCAACGCUCCCUAGCUGGUCUGAGAGGAGGACCAGCCACACUGGAACUGAGCCACGGUCCAGACUCCUACGGGAGGCAGCAGUGGGGAAUAUUGCACAAUGGGCGCAAGCCUGAUGCAGCCAUGCCGCGUGUAUGAAGAAGGCCUUCGGGUUGUAAAGUACUUUCAGCGAGGAGGCGUUACUCGCAGAAGAAGCAUCGGCUAACUCCGUGCCAGCAGCCGCGGUAAUAC
rnacentral:rRNA from 1 species